rnacentral:rRNA from 1 species
CCUACGGGAGACAGCAGUGGGGAAUAUUGGGCAAUGGGCGCAAGCCUGACCCAGCAACGCCGCGUGAAGGAAGAAGGCCCUCGGGUUGUAAACUUCUUUUGUCAGGGACGAAGAAAGUGACGGUACCUGACGAAUAAGCCACGGCUAACUACGUGCCAGCAGCCGCGGUAAUACGUAGGUGGCAAGCGUUAUCCGGAUUUACUGGGUGUAAAGGGCGUGUAGGCGGGACUGCAAGUCAGAUGUGAAAUUCCAGGGCUCAACCCUGGAACUGCAUUUGAAACUGUAGUUCUUGAGUAUCGGAGAGGCAGGCGGAAUUCCUAGUGUAGCGGUGAAAUGCGUAGAUAUUAGGAGGAACACCAGUGGCGAAGGCGGCCUGCUGGACGACAACUGACGGUGAGGCGCGAAAGCGUGGGGAGCAAACAGGAUUAGAUACCCUUGUAGUC